UGGAAAUAUGCAUACUGUGAAGAAGAUUUGAUUUCUAUUUGAGUAUAUCAGCUGACCAAAGUUUCAACAAAGGAACAGGUUCCUCCAACAAGGGGUAGAACUUCCAUAUCUUUGCUAUUCCAGCAGAGACCUUAUUUGAGAAAGAAGAACUACAGAGAUAAUCAAAGGCAAUAGCUCCAUAACUUGCACAUAGCUGCCGUUUAAUAGUCUUAAUGAAAGAAAUCUUGGAGUGAUAACCUGAAGUAUGAAAGAAAAACAUGAAGUGCAAAACUACAAAAGAAAACAUACACAAUAAUACAAGACAAUCUUGGUGUUGACAUUAUCACUAUAUAAUAUUUUGCAAAUUUUGUUUCAUGAAGCUCAUCCUGUGUUUGUUUCUAUGACAAUCACUUUUACCAGACAAUACUUAUUAAAGUGAAAAAAAGAUCUUAAGUUCAAUUAGAUCUGCUUAAUUUUUUUCAUCUUUCCUGGUUUCAUUGAUUU
rnacentral:lncRNA from 1 species